UACGCUCAAUUAAAAAAGUAAAAACCAAAAACCAAAGUCACGUUGUCGAAGAUGGCUCGGGAGAUGGAACUUCAGAAAGAGAAGGAAAGGCAAGGAUGUAAGAUGUUUAUUGGUGGGUUAACUUUACGUACAACUAAAGAAAUGCUCGAGGAUUACUACUGUCGCUGGGGGGAGGUCAUUGAUUCUGUGGUCAUGAAGGAUCCUCAGACAAAUCGCCCUAGAGGGUUUGGUUUCAUAACCUACACUAGCCCUGAGAGUGUUGAGAGGUGCCUGGCAGAGGGCCCUCAUGAGAUUGACGAAAGAAUAGUAGAGACAAAGAGGGCAGUACCUCGUGAAGAGACUCGUCAAGAACCCGAGCCGUCCUCUAAAUCAAAGAAGGUGUUUUUGGGUGGUCUUUCUCUUGAAACCACCGAGCGAGAGAUUAUGGAAUCCGUGAGACAUUUUGGGGAAAUCGACGAAGUCUUCUUGAUUGCUGACAAGGACACAAACAAGCCUCGUGGAUUUGGAUUCGUCACAUUCAUGGACUGCGAAAGUGCCAACAAGCUCUGCAGCCAACGCUACAUUAGAAUCAGCGAAAGAGAUGUUGAAGCCAAGAAGGCCAUCAGCCUUGACUCAAUGAAGAGGCAGGCUCCUUCAAGACCACCUCCAAGAAGAAGCGAGAUGCCUGAUAGAUCCCAUCGAUCCCGCGGGUCUUCGUCACGCGAUCAUAGCUACAUACCACCACCACCACAAGCCUACCAACAACCCUCUUACCACCACAGUCAGUCCCAGUAUGGUGGACAAUACAAUGACUACCCACCCCAACCUUAUCGUGAUGAGUAUUAUAAUAAUGGAGGAGGAUACCGUGGGGUUGGAGGGGGAGGAGGAGGAGGUGGUGGUCCUUCUUCUUAUAGACCUCCUUAUAAUUCAGGGAGUGGAGGAUAUGGAGGAGGAGGACCUGGUCCUGUUGCUUAUGGAGGCUAUAGUUAUAAUGGUGGACCUGGGGGCUAUCGUGCAGGAGGAGGAGGAGGGUAUCCUGGGUACCCAAGAGGAGGAGAAAUGAGUUCACAGUCUGGCAGAGUAGGAGGAGGAGGAGGAGGAGGGUAUAGGAGUCAGGGUGGAGCUGCCUCUCAUAGCUAUCAUCCUUACAGGCGACCAUGACAAGGCAGGCUCGCUGAUUAUUAGUCUUUGUUAUAAGUUAUGACUUGAAAUGAAAGAGGAAUACUUGCUGGUUCAUCUACUUCAUUGUUAUAUGCUGAUAUUAAUGAUUGGAGUACAAGACUCUAGAAAUGGAUCAUUCACCUUCACUAUAUUUAUGGAGGAUUUACAAUUUGUUUGACAUCUUUAUGUACUAGCCAGAAGGAGAAAUUGAACGAGCAUUAGUGGGACAAUAAUAUAAUUUAUCUUUUAAAAUUUUGUUUAUGAUAAAAAUGCACAAAGAAAGUAA